rnacentral:tRNA from 1 species
UCCCGUGUGGCUCAGUUGGUAGAGCAUGGUGUUUGCAACGCCAGGGUUGUGGGUUCGAUUCCCAUGGGGGGGG